AGGGGCAGCAUGGUCUUAGCUUGCUAAGGCCGAUGGCGACCGGCGCACGGGUGAGUAACACGUAUCCAACCUGCCGUCUACUCUUGGACAGCCUUCUGAAAGGAAGAUUAAUACAAGAUGGCAUCAUGAGUCCACAUGUUCACAUGAUUAAAGGUAUUCCGGUAGACGAUGGGGAUGCGUUCCAUUAGAUAGUAGGCGGGGUAACGGCCCACCUAGUCUUCGAUGGAUAGGGGUUCUGAGAGGAAGGUCCCCCACAUUGGAACUGAGACACGGUCCAAACUCCUACGGGAGGCAGCAGUGAGGAAUAUUGGUCAAUGGGCGAGAGCCUGAACCAGCCAAGUAGCGUGAAGGAUGACUGCCCUAUGGGUUGUAAACUUCUUUUAUAAAGGAAUAAAGUCGGGUAUGCAUACCCGUUUGCAUGUACUUUAUGAAUAAGGAUCGGCUAACUCCGUGCCAGCAGCCGCGGUAAUACGGAGGAUCCGAGCGUUAUCC
rnacentral:rRNA from 1 species